ACGGAGAAACGCACUUAUGCUAACCAAAUUCUUACAAAUUAUCGGAAUAUUCCGUUAUCAUUGAUAAAAAACUCUACUUGACAUUUUGUACAAGCAAUACACGAAUAUACGUUGAUAAAGUACGUAAAGGAAAUGUAGAAAGUCAGUUUGAGGAAGUGAGUUGAAGCUGUGUUGUGUUGUCGUGUUUUUACCCGCCUGCGCAGAAGCAAAAGGAGGGUUAUUACUUUUAAAAUGGGGAAUAAAGACCGAACAUGGAUUACGCCUUUCAAAAAGCAGUGUUUCGUUACUCUGGGAGUAUGCCUAAAUAUGGCUGGACAUGGUUUAGUGAUGGGAUUCGCCGCCAUCUUGCUCCACCAACUCAAGGAGCCGGGGUCGCCCAUACCCAUCGAUGACACUUCCAAAUCUUGGAUUGCAUCGAUCCUGGGCAUCGCGCUGGUUGCUGGUAACUUCAUCGUUCCCACCAUCAUGGCUAAAUUCGGAAGAAGAACGGCCAAUCUUGUCUCCAUCGUCCCGCUGUUGGUCGGGUGGUUUUGUAUACUUACUGCUAACAGUGUUACUACUCUUCUAAUAGCUAGAGUUUUGCAAGGAAUAUCUAUGGGAAUGAGCGCAUCUUUAGGCCCCGUUUUGAUCGGAGAGUAUACUAGUCCAAACAACAGGGGAGCCUUCCUUACCAGUAUAUCCCUGACCAUAGCCACAGGAGUCUUAACAGUGCACACUAUGGGAUCUUAUCUGUCCUGGGAAACUACCGCGUUGGUCUGUGCAUUUAUUGCAUUCGCGGAUCUGUUAAUAGUUAUAUAUUCACCAGAAUCGCCUAGUUUCCUGGCUGAUCAAGGGAAGUAUGAAGAGAGCAAGAAGGUGUUCAGAUGGCUAAGAGGUGAUGGGGAAGAAGAAGAGUUACAGAGGAUGAUUGAAUCCGCGACAAUUGUUAGAGAAGCGAAAAUGGAUGUUGAUGUUGACGAGUCUUUCGGUAAAAAGGUGAACGCUGCUCUGGUUUACUUCGGAGCGACGAUUAAGAAGAGGGAGUUUUAUAAACCUAUUUUUAUCAUGUGUCAUAUCUAUACAUUAGGCCAAUGGGCUGGCGCUAACAUUCUGGCCGCGUACACUAUAGACAUCUUCGAAAAUGUCAUAGGACCCGUGGACAUCGCACUAAUGAUUAUUACUUUAGAUACCCAGCGAAUUAUUUCGAACGCAUGCGCUGUUUACGUUAUAAAGAAGGUUAAACGCCGGACGAUGUUAUUGGUAACAGUUUGUAUAAAUAUUUUCGCGUUUUUGGCGACAGCUGCUUACACCUACUGCAAGGCUCAUGAUCUGUUGCCUUUCGAUGACCAUCCUUUGAUAGGAGCAACAUUGGUACAUAUUCAUAUGUUCUCAAUAGCAACAGGAACUGUGCCUUUGCCUUUCAUAAUAGCAGGAGAAUUAUUUCCUUUAGAAUACAGAAGUUUAGCUGGAGGGAUUAGUGUAAUAUUUUUAUCGUCGAAUCUGUUCAUUACUGUGAAAACUUUACCAGUGUUAUUCAAAACGAUAGGAAUACAUGGCGCUUAUUGCUUGUACGCUGGCGUGGUUGCGUAUUGUUUGAUAGUAGCUAUGAAGUUUCUGCCAGAGACAAAAGAUAGGACGCUUCAAGAUAUUGAAGAUGAAUUCAGAGGUAGACCUCUCUCUCCUGAAGAAUUGAAGUCUGUAGAGUCGUUGACUUCGUGGAAGCUGUACCACAACAGAGAUAGACGGUGCAGUAGUCCUCUUGUAUAGAAUAGAAGUAGAAGUAGUAGUGUUAUGGACUUAGAAAGAGACUAAGGGACAAUAGAGGGGGAAGGGAGAUCUUUGUGAUCUGUGUUGUAUACAGGGCGUUAGUGAAAUCGUAAUGAAAAUAUUGAGGGAUGAUACAGACCAUGACUCUGAAAUAAUAUCAAGUGGAAUUUUCCGUCGCAGAAGUAUGAAACUGAAAAUUUACAAAAAAACACAUUUUUUCUGCAUUUCCGACAAGAAAUUCCACUUGAUAUCAACUCAGAAUCAGUGUCUAUAAAUCAUGUCCCUCAGUAUCCGUUACGGUGUCACUACACCUAUGCGUACUUGUAUGGCAACCUGUACGGAGUGUAAGUAAAUUCGUAACGAAUACUGGGGAGGAUGAUUCAGCUCAUUAUUCUGAGUUAAUAUCAAGCGGAAUUUUCCAUCGCAAAAGAGUAUAAUUGAAAAUAAUUUUAAAACACACAAAUAACCAUGAAUUUUGCGACGGAAAAUUCCAUUUGGUAUCAACUUGUACGAUACCUUCGGUGCAAUAAACUUUAGUGACGAAAAAUAAAUAUUUUAGUACCUAUAGCAAUAGCAGUAAAGUAGUAGUACUAGGUAUGUAGAUAAAGUAGCGUGGAGAAUGCUACAGCGACGAGAGAGUGACUCUUAAAUUAAUGAUGAUGAUGAGAAAUGCAAAUAAGUAUUAGAACGACAUGGGAAAAAAAUGCUCAUUGGCUUUAUGACCUGUUCAUACUAGCGAUUUACCCGGCGAUUUUUCAGAGAUUUGACGGCGAGGUGAGAUCGCGGCGUGCACGAGGCGAGCACGCGACGCACUCGCCUCGUGCACGAUUCGAUUUACUCAUCACCGCGAGCCCACGUCGAGCACACCGCAAUCUUUCCGUUGUGACCGUCACGGGCCGUUUUCAUCAUUCACAACAUGGACUCCGACGAGGAGAUACUUCUAGCUGUCUUACUUAGAAGACGAUUAAAUCGAACGGUAGCGAAAUGUGGGUAGUGUGCUACUAAAAAUAAUCGCGGAGAAAUUGUGGCGUGCUCGCCGCGAGCACACAGAGAUAUCGUGGCGAUGUCGCCGCGUGCACGCCGCGAUCUCGCCUCGCCGUCAAAUCGCUGGACAAAUCGCUAGUGUGAACCUACCCUAAAAUGUAUUACCUACCUACUACGUAAUUUAAAAAAAGUGAAUUUUAAGGCUGUGUUAGCAGUUCAGCAUAGGGUAUUUUGUAAGUUAUAGAUGCUAAUUCCUAUACACACAAUCUAACUUUAUUUUAAGUUAUACCGGUCAUUAUCUUAUGUGCCUAAAAGGAAAGGGACGGAUGAUUGACGGCUGUUAAUUUUAAAGUGUAUCUCGCUGGCUUGCAACCCGUUUGACGUGUGCUAACAUAACUCCGUCGGGUUAUUGGCCGAUGUAAAAUUUUUAGAGGGUUGUUUUAGAUUUUUGCGUAAAAUUGACUUGUGUUCCAUUAUGCCUGUCGAUUAUCCGUCCCUUUCUUUUUCGGCGGAUAACUAAAUGGCAGGUAUAAAUUAAAAUAAAAUUGUUGUAAAUUAUAUAAUUUAAUUAAGAUUGUUUUAAUGGCAUGAGAAAACGAAAAAACGUAUUUAAAAAGACAUGAGCUCAAAUAAUCGUAAUAUUUAUUUAACUUCAUGGUAGGUACUUAUCUAAUAUUUAAGUAGCUAAACACUUGAGUGCGCUGCGCAAUGAAAAAUAAUAAUUGUACAAACACACAGGAUGGUAGUGACAUGGUACCGAAUACUGAGGGGGAUGAUUCAGACCAUGAUUGAGCACUUUUGUUCUGAGAUUCUGAGUUAAUAUCAAGUGGAAAAUUCCACUUGAUAUCAACUCGGAAUCAUCCCUCAAAAUUUUCGUUACGAUGUCAC
rnacentral:misc_RNA from 1 species